CCUCUUCCUUCUUUAACCCGGUGUCUGAGGAGUUUUGUCUGUGGCUCAUCCUGCUACAUUUCUUGGUUCCCUGACCGGGAAGUGAAGCAGCCCCUUAGGUGGCUUAGGCUUGCCCUGUGGAGCAUCCCUGCAGGGGACUCUGGCCAGCUUGAGCUACGUGGAUCCUGAGCAUGCUCCUGGGUAGGCAUUUGCCCCGGUGGAAUGCCUUGUCAGAGCAGUGCAUGGCAGGCCCCAGCAGAGGAUCAAUGCAGUGGCUGAGCACCGGGAGGGAACUGGCGCUUGGAGUCCGUAUAUCUGGAACAUGUGAGGGCUUAUUUGGCCUCCCCAGGACGGACUGGAGCA
rnacentral:lncRNA from 1 species